GCAGGCGGUUUCUUAAGUCUGAUGUGAAAGCCCCCGGCUCAACCGGGGAGGGUCAUUGGAAACUGGGGAACUUGAGUGCAGAAGAGGAGAGUGGAAUUCCACGUGUAGCGGUGAAAUGCGUAGAGAUGUGGAGGAACACCAGUGGCGAAGGCGACUCUCUGGUCUGUAACUGACGCUGAGGAGCGAAAGCGUGGGGAGCGAACAGGAUUAGAUACCCUGGUAGUCCACGCCGUAAACGAUGAGUGCUAAGUGUUAGGGGGUUUCCGCCCCUUAGUGCUGCAGCUAACGCAUUAAGCACUCCGCCUGGGGAGUACGGUCGCAAGACUGAAACUCAAAGGAAUUGACGGGGGCCCGCACAAGCGGUGGAGCAUGUGGUUUAAUUCGAAGCAACGCGAAGAACCUUACCAGGUCUUGACAUCCUCUGACAAUCCUAGAGAUAGGACGUCCCCUUCGGGGGCAGAGUGACAGGUGGUGCAUGGUUGUCGUCAGCUCGUGUCGUGAGAUGUUGGGUUAAGUCCCGCAACGAGCGCAACCCUUGAUCUUAGUUGCCAGCAUUCAGUUGGGCACUCUAAGGUGACUGCCGGUGACAAACCGGAGGAAGGUGGGGAUGACGUCAAAUCAUCAUGCCCCUUAUGACCUGGGCUACACACGUGCUACAAUGGACAGAACAAAGGGCAGCGAAACCGCGAGGUUAAGCCAAUCCCACAAAUCUGUUCUCAGUUCGGAUCGCAGUCUGCAACUCGACUGCGUGAAG
rnacentral:rRNA from 1 species